GACGAACGCUGGCGGCGUGCUUAACACAUGCAAGUCGAACGGAAAGGCCCUGCUUUUGUGGGGUGCUCGAGUGGCGAACGGGUGAGUAACACGUGAGUAACCUGCCCUUGACUUUUGGAUAACUUCAGGAAACUGGGGCUCAUACCGGAUAGGAGCUCCUGCUGCAUGGUGGGGGUUGGACAGUUUCGGCGGUUGGGGAUGGACUCGCGGCUUAUCAGCUUGUUGGUGGGGUAGUGGCUUACCAAGGCUUUGACGGGUAGCCGGCCUGAGAGGGUGACCGGCCACAUUGGGACUGAGAUACGGACCAGACUCCUACGGGAGGCAGCAGUGGGGAAUAUUGCACAAUGGGCGGAAGCCUGAUGCAGCAACGCCGCGUGCGGGAUGACGGCCUUCGGGUUGUAAACCGCUUUCGCCUGUGACGAAGCGUGAGUGACGGUAAUGGGUAAAGAAGCACCGGCUAACUACGUG
rnacentral:rRNA from 1 species